rnacentral:rRNA from 1 species
CACGUAGGGGCCAAGCGUUGUCCGGAUUUAUUGGGCGUAAAGAGCUCGUAGGCGGUUCGACAAGUCGGGUGUGAAAACUCCGGGCUCAACCCGGAGACGCCACCCGAUACUGUCGUGACUGGAGUCCGGUAGGGGAGGUGGGGAAGUUCCUGGUGUAGCGGUGAAAUGCGCAGAUAUCAGGAGGAACACCGGUGGCGAAGGCGCCACUCUGGGCCGGUACUGACGCUGAGGAGCGAAAGCGUGGGUAGCAAACAGG